rnacentral:tRNA from 1 species
GUGGUGUAAGCCGACCGGUCCAGGCGUCGCCCUGUGGAGGCGAAGUUAGCGGGUUCGAUUCCCGUACACCACC